rnacentral:rRNA from 1 species
AUGGCGGCCGUGUUGGACGCGUGGCGCAGCAAGAGGGCGGCCAUCACGUCGUGGUGCGUGUCGGCGCUGUGGAGCGGGCUCAGGCGAAGGCACCUGCGGACGACGUACGCCCUCGGAGCCGGUGGGCUCAAGCUCAACUACGACGCGCUCAGCUACGCCCAGAACUUCGACGACGGGAGCCGCCCCGGCGACGGCGAGUGCGAGCCCGACUUCACGGCCAGUUCCGGCCCGGCGUAUGUGGUGGUGGUGGUGCUUUUCCUCCCCUAUCCCUUGACGGCUAGGGUAAACUCUUCCCUCCACACUUCAGCAGUGAGCCUGUCGAUUCGCCCCCUCUCUGCCUGCUGCUUCGGCGGCCAGUGGCUGGGGGAGAAUCCUGGUGCCUUCGCUCUGGCUAGCAGUUUAGAUUAG